rnacentral:lncRNA from 1 species
UGCUUCUUGGACACUUUAUAGACUGGCAUUGAUAAUAGCUGGGCAUUUUUUCUCAGUAUCCAAAAAUACAUACUUCAGAUUUGUUGGUAGCUGCUUCAGAUUUACCCCUGUUUUGGGUUCUUCAGUGACAUCUGAUGGUGGUGGUGGUCUUAAAUCUUCCCACCAGUGUGGUCUAGAUCUAAUCCAUUCAGGUUAUUUUUC